GAGUGGGUGGUGAAGGCUGGUGAGUGGGUGGUGAAUGGCUGGUUAUGGGUGGUGAUUGGGUGUGAUGGGUGGUGAGAGGGUGGUGAGUGUCUGGUGAGUGGGUGGUGAGUGGGUGGUGGGUGGCUGGUGAUGGGUGGUCAGUGGGUGGUAGGAGGGUGGUGAGUGGGUGGUGCAGGCUGGUGAGUGGGUGGUCAAUGUCUGGUGAUGGGUGGUGGGUGGGUGGUGAGAGGGUGGUGAGUGGCUGGUGAGUGGGUCGUGAGUGGCUGGUGAUGGGUGGUGGGUGGGUGGUAGGAGGGUGGUGAGUGGGUGGUGAGUGGCUGGUGAGUGGGUGGCGAGUGGGUUGUGAGUGGGUGGUGAGAGGGUGGUGGUGGGUGGCUAGUGGGUGCUGAUGGGUGGUGAGUGGGGGUGAAUAGGUGGUGAAUAGGUGGUGAGUGGGUGGUGAGUGGCUGGUGAGAGGGUGGUGAGUGGCUGGUGAUUGGCUGGUGAUGGGUGGUGAGUGGGUUGUGAGAAGGUGGUGAGAGGGUGGUGAUUGGCUGCUGAGUGGCUGGUGAGUGGCUGGUGAGUGGCUGGUGAGUUGGUGGUGUGUGGCUGGUGAGGGGUGGUGAGUGGGUGGUGAGGGGGUGGUGAGGGGUGGUGGGUGGCUGGUGAGUGGGUGAUGAGUGGGUGGUGAGUGGGUGGUGAGUGGGUGGUGUGGGUGGUGUUGGCUGGUGAGAGGGUGGUGAGUGGCUGGUGAGUGGGUGGUGAAUAGGUGGUGAGUGGGUGGUGAAUAGGUGGUGAGUGGAUGGUGAAUAGGUGGUGAGUGGGUGGUGAAUACAUUUUUUUACAUUUUAUUUCACCUUUAUUUCACCAGGUAGGCUAGUGAGAACAGUUCAUCCAGAAAGAGGGCCCGUGGUGAGGGUC
ensembl:lncRNA